rfam:Cavia porcellus supercont2_8 genomic scaffold, whole genome shotgun sequence.
UGGCGCCCAACGUGGGGGCUCCUGGCACGGGGGAGUCAAGGAGGGAGCCAUUUGAGAAAGCCAGCUAGAAGUGAAAGCAAAUUGAAUCAAGGACUGAGGCCUGCACAGAUGACCACCCGACAUGCCGCCCAAGUCACGGUGAGUGAACAGCAACCCCAUUUCCUUUCCCGGACAUGGGUCAAGCAUUGAGCGAACAUGAAUUGUUCGUGGGAAGCCUCAGCAAGGCAUUAAAGACAAGAGUGUUAAGAGUUAGAAUAAAAGAAUCGUUGCAGUAUUUUCAAUUUAUUCAUAAGGUUUGCCCUU